GCCUGGACCGCAGCCGCCGGUGGCCUGGUUCCUGCUCCCGGCUCCCCAUCCCCAGCUGGGCCCGCACCCCCCUGCCGCACUGGGCUUCGCGGGGCCCCGCAGACGGAGGCCCUGGGGAGCUGCGUCACCAAGCUGCUUAGGUGGCCUAAAGGUUUCUCCACCGAAUGCUCCUUCUCUUCGGGGAUGCUCUUAAUCCUGAGUCAUGGAUCCUUUGAGAGUUUGACGAAAGCCACGGACCCCCUCCCCAGAAAACAAUGUGCCUUAUUAGUAGGUGUAGGAGCACAGAAGCCCCGGGGUGGUGGUUGCAUCUUCUUAAUCAUCCCACGACUAUGCCCCUGUAUUUUUCUUUCUUUCUUUUUUUUUUUUAUUAUGAUUUUAUUUGAUGGAGAGUGAGAAAGAGCAAGAGAGAGCAAGCAAGAGCACAAACGGGGAGCCGCAGAAGGAGAGGAAGAAGCAGGCUCUGUGCUGAUGCGGCCCGUCACAGGGCCUUAGGAUCGUGACCUGAGCUGAAGGCAGACGCUUAACCGAAUAAGCCACCCAGGUGCCCCAGACCCCUGUAUUUUAAAGAGAGUUUGAGAGAAGGAAACACACUGCUGCCCAUGCUCACACAGCCUCAAGGUGCCUGAAGCCAGGCAGGCUGGCUCUGCAGGACCCACAGGCCACCCCGGUCCCUGCCCACCAGACCUGAGGAGGCCUCCGGAGGCGAAGACGCUGUCCUUCCGGCUGAGCAGCUUCUCUGGCUUGUCGAACUCAAGGAUGGCGCCGCGCUUCAGGACAAUCACCAGGUUCCCUGCAAGCCCUCCAGACUGCUCUGCAUCGUCGUUGCUCCACGGUCUUCUCCUGAUUGCCAGGCCCAGAUGGCCCUUGAUGGUAAAGACAACUGGAGCUUCAGGACCACUUGGUGCAAAUUUCACCCUAAGAGCCCCUGAAAACCCUCUCCAAGACCCCACCCCACAGAUGUGCUCAGGACUGACCGUGGCCAUGUCGAUGGAGGCCGUGGCUUCAUCCAUGAUGAAGAUGCUGGUCUUCCUCACGAAGGCCCGAGCCAGGCAGAACAGUUGCCUCUGGCCUUGGCUGAAAUUCUCCCCACCUUCCGUGAUGAUGGCAUCUGAGAACAGCCCCGGGCGGAGGAGCAGGGCUGAGUUAAUCUGGCACUGGGAGUUUAGUAGACAGCAUGGCUUAGGGCUGUUAGGAAGUGCAUGGGGCAAACACACG